rnacentral:tRNA from 1 species
GCGAGAGUGACGGAAUCGGUAUACGUAGCAGACUUAAAAUCUGCCGCCCGUAAGGGCUUAGGGGUUCAAGUCCCCUCUCUCGCACCA